rnacentral:rRNA from 1 species
AUUGAACGCUGGCGGCAUGCUUUACACAUGCAAGUCGGACGGCAGCGCGGGCUUCGGCCUGGCGGCGAGUGGCGAACGGGUGAGUAAUACAUCGGAACGUGCCCAGUAGUGGGGGAUAGCUCGGCGAAAGCCGGAUUAAUACCGCAUACGACCUGAGGGUGAAAGCGGGGGACUUUACGGCCUCGCGCUAUUGGAGCGGCCGAUGGCAGAUUAGCUAGUUGGUGGGGUAAAGGCCUACCAAGGCGACGAUCUGUAGCUGGUCUGAGAGGACGACCAGCCACACUGGGACUGAGACACGGCCCAGACUCCUACGGGAGGCAGCAGUGGGGAAUUUUGGACAAUGGGCGCAAGCCUGAUCCAGCAAUGCCGCGUGUGUGAUGAAGGCCUUCGGGUUGUAAAGCACUUUUGGCAGGAACGAAAAGUGCCGUGCUAAUACCACGGUACGAUGACGGUACCUGCAGAAUAAGCACCGGCUAACUACGUG